rnacentral:rRNA from 1 species
UACGGAGGGUGCAAGCGUUAUCCGGAUUCACUGGGUUUAAAGGGUGCGUAGGCGGUGACUUAAGUCAGUGGUGAAAUACUUCAGCUCAACUGGAGAGGUGCCAUUGAUACUGGGUUACUUGAGUACUGAUGAGGUAGGCGGAAUGGACGGUGUAGCGGUGAAAUGCUUAGAUAUCGUCCAGAACACCGAUAGCGAAGGCAGCUUACUAAGGAGUAACUGACGCUGAGGCACGAAAGUGUGGGGAUCAAGCAGG